rnacentral:rRNA from 1 species
AUUGAACGCUGGCGGCAUGCUUUACACAUGCAAGUCGAACGGCAGCACAGGGAGCUUGCUCCCGGGUGGCGAGUGGCGCACGGGUGAGUAAUACAUCGGAACGUGUCCUGUUGUGGGGGAUAACUGCUCGAAAGGGUGGCUAAUACCGCAUGAGACCUGAGGGUGAAAGCGGGGGAUCGCAAGACCUCGCGCAAUUGGAGCGGCCGAUGCCCGAUUAGCUAGUUGGUGAGGUAAAGGUUCACCAAGGCGACGAUCGGUAGCUGGUCUGAGAGGACGACCAGCCACACUGGGACUGAGACACGGCCCAGACUCCUACGGGAGGCAGCAGUGGGGAAUUUUGGACAAUGGGGGGCAACCCUGAUCCAGCCAUGCCGCGUGCAGGAUGAAGGCCU